rnacentral:misc_RNA from 1 species
GAUGAAGAACGUAGCGAAAUGCGAUAAGUAAUGCGAAUUGCAGAAUUUCCGUGAGUCAUCGAAUCUUUGAACGCACAUUGCGCCCUCUGGUAUUCCGGGGGGCAUGCCUGUUCGAGCGUCAUUAUAACCACUCAAGCUCUCGCUUGGUAUUGGAGUUCGCGAUCUCGCGGCUCCUAAAAUCAGUGGCGGUGCCUGUCGGCUCUACGCGUAGUAAUACUCCUCGCGAUUGAGUCCGGUAGGUUUACUUGCCAGCAACCCCCAAUUUUUACAGGUUGACCUCGGAUCAGGUAGGGAUACCCGCUGAACUUAAGCAUAUCAAUAAGCGGAGGA